AGUAAACGCUGGCGGUAGGCCUAACACAUGCAAGUCGAACGGCAGCACAGUAAGAGCUUGCUCUUACGGGUGGCGAGUGGCGGACGGGUGAGGAAUACAUCGGAAUCUACUUUUUCGUGGGGGAUAACGUAGGGAAACUUACGCUAAUACCGCAUACGACCUACGGGUGAAAGCAGGGGAUCUUCGGACCUUGCGCGAUUGAAUGAGCCGAUGUCGGAUUAGCUAGUUGGCGGGGUAAAGGCCCACCAAGGCGACGAUCCGUAGCUGGUCUGAGAGGAUGAUCAGCCACACUGGAACUGAGACACGGUCCAGACUCCUACGGGAGGCAGCAGUGGGGAAUAUUGGACAAUGGGCGAAAGCCUGAUCCAGCCAUACCGCGUGGGUGAAGAAGGCCUUCGGGUUGUAAAGCCCUUUUGUUGGGAAAGAAAAGCAGCAGGUUAAUACCCCGCUGUUCUGACGGUACCCAAAGAAUAAGCACCGGCUAACUUCGUG
rnacentral:rRNA from 1 species